UGUUUUAUUUUUGCUGUGCCCUGUUUUUGCCAUAAAACCCGUAAGCUUCACUCGUAUCUUGGUGAUUUUGGUGCUUGCCGUGAGUGCAUGUUCUGCUACUGCUUGUUGCCUCUCGGUUUCCCUUGAGUAAGUCUUUGCUAUAUUUUUAUAGUCAAGCUGGAGAACAAGAAUAUGAAGUAUUGGAACAGUCUGAUGAUCAUAGAUGAAUGAGUGCUUAGGGUACAAGUAUUUUGGAGGAUCAUAUUUAGUAGUGUUACCUCUAGCGGUUAUUUUUGGUACGUCAAGUUAUGAUUAAUUUGGGUAUUUGUGGAGAUGUUAUUUGUUAUAUUGAGGUUUUUAUUUAGUAUUUAUGUGGAAGGAUACAUAUUUUUGGAUCAAACAAAUAAGUUAAGUAUUUUGUGGA